rnacentral:rRNA from 2 species
CACGUAGGAGGCGAGCGUUAUCCGGAUUUACUGGGCGUAAAGCGCGUGCAGGCGGUUGGGUAAGUUGGAUGUGAAAGCUCCUGGCUUAACUGGGAGAGGUCGUUCAAUACUACCUGACUUGAGAGUGGUAGAGGAAAGCGGAAUUCCGGGUGUAGUGGUGAAAUGCGUAGAUAUCCGGAGGAACACCAGUGGCGAAAGCGGCUUUCUGGACCAUUUCUGACGCUCAGACGCGAAAGCUAGGGUAGCAAACGGG